AUACGGAGGGGGUUAGCGUUGUUCGGAAUUACUGGGCGUAAAGCGCACGUAGGCGGACUGGAAAGUUGGGGGUGAAAUCCCGGGGCUCAACCUCGGAACUGCCUCCAAAACUUCCAAUCUUGAGAUCGAGAGAGGUGAGUGGAAUUCCAAGUGUAGAGGUGAAAUUCGUAGAUAUUUGGAGGAACACCAGUGGCGAAGGCGGCUCACUGGCUCGAUACUGACGCUGAGGUGCGAAAGCGUGGGGAGCAAACAGGAUUAGAAACCCCAGUAGUCC
rnacentral:rRNA from 1 species